AUUGAACGUUGGCGGUGUGCCUAAUACAUGCAAGUCGAACGGAGUUAAUAGCAAUAUUGACUUAGUGGCGAACGGGUGAGUUAACGCGUUGGUGAUCUGCCUUGAAGUGUGGAAUAACGCUCCGAAAGGAGCGCUAAUACCGCAUGUGCUCUCAAUUUUUAGAAAGUUGAGAGGAAAGGAUUUAUUCGCUUCGAGAGGAGCCUGCGUCCCAUCAGCUGGUUGGUAGGGUAAAGGCCUACCAAGGCAAUGACGGGUAGGGGACCUGAGAGGGUGGCCCCCCACAAUGGAACUGAAACACGGUCCAUACACCUACGGGUGGCAGCAGUAGGGAAUAUUAGAAAUGGACGAAAGUCUGAUCUAGCAACACCGCGUGUGCGAAGAAGGCCUUCGGGUCGUAAAGCACUUUUUGGAAGGAAUAGGAAGGAAUGUACUUCCAGAAUAAGUCUCGGCUAACUACGUG
rnacentral:rRNA from 1 species